AGAGAAAGGACACUGCCCUCUCUGAGGUGGGCACCAGCAAGCCCACUGGGGACUGGCCCUCUAGGCUGGGGACCCCUCCAGUGAGCUGGGCAGGCAGGAGGCUUCCAUCCCAUUCUGACUCUCUACAGGGUCCCCACCCCCACAGGCAUACCAGAGGGGCCGGUGACCGCUGGGCAUCCGGUUCCCGAGUAUGGAUGUGGUGGCACCAUGAGAAGCGUGCAGGCUGCCCACCCACUAUCCCCAGACCAAACACCACAGAGAGGACUGCAGAGGAAGUCACUCACCUUGCCCCCAAUCAUAACAGUCCUGGGCACAAAAGCCUUGGCCGGGUCUCUCUUGAUUCCUGCAGGACACACGGAAGAGACUCACACAAGGCACCGCGAGCCGGACGAGCCCCUGCUGGGGCCCAGCAGCAUCAGAGGCCGACCCUGAGGCAGGACAGGCACGCUCCGCCAUGUACUUCAAGCCCCAGAGACACGGGUGACAGUGGCACAGGGCCACUGGCCACCCACCUGCCCACCCACCAGGAACCUGCCACUUACAAGGGAGUGAGGCCACCCUGAGGUCUGCACUUAGGUUCCCCGCUGGUGAGGAAGGCCAGCCAGGACCAUGGACGAACCCAGCAGCUGACUCGAGCAAAGAUGCUAUUCCCCGGGGCUCAGAGGAAAAGCUGCACCUCAGUUUCCAGAAAAGCCCAACACAGGAGCCUCCUUGGGUCUGGUCACCAGUGUUCAAGGCCCCUGUACAUGAAGGGCACACUUGUGGGUUUUGUUUGGUUUUGUUUCUUGAGACAGCAGCUCACUCUGUCGCCCAGGCUGGAGUGCGGUGGUGUAAGCGUAGCUCACUGCAGCCU
rnacentral:lncRNA from 1 species